GCGGUUUAUUAGAAAACAGCAACAGAAAAGUGAUAUUCUAUUUCCUUACCAUUUUGGGUUCCACUGGAUUCUUAUGGUAAUUCAAGUUCAGACCUCCUCAGUUCUCGUCCACGACUCUCUGAAUAUGGAUCCGGCGCUUUGGGCCGACAUGAGAAAAAUGAUGCAAAAGGUUUGGAGACGGUUCGUAGAUACCAAGGUCGGUGAAUUCAAAAAAGAGCUACAUUUUAAAAUGGCAGUGCGGACGACUGGGGAUAUUCAGCCACCGGGGACCAAUCUAUGUGGAUACUAUGUUUGUGAGAGGAUCCGGAGAUACUGCAAUGAGCGGGACCAGACGUGUGAGAACAACAUCCUGAGGAAUAACCUCCGGAAGACGCUUAGUCCAGAAGCUCGCUUCCGACCACUUCAAGAGGAACUAGCUGGAUGGUUGGCGAGGGAAGUCAUCGAUCCUAGAGGAGAACACUAUUACGAUGACGUAGAACUUUAUAUGCACCAGAAUUUGUAACUAACUUGUUCAAAAUUGUAUAUGGUCAUCCGAUAUUGAAUAUAUAUUGUAUAUGGUCAUCCGAUAUUGAAUAUAUAUUGUAUAUUCCUCUUGAAUUCUUUUUGGUUCUAAUUUCAAAUUUGUUUGAAAUUGUACAUUCAUAUGCAUGUAUGUAUACAGUACCGUACAAUAUGUGAAACUCCUUCAAAAUUAAAACCCAAAAGAAAUAAAACAAUACAAAUUAAAAAGAAACCAGAUUUAGGGGGAGGGGGGCUAAACCCUAAACCCUGCGGAGGCCUUUAGUCGCGGUUGGCCAGA